GAAUGAGAUGAUGAUCGAGAUUUUACUUCCCUAUUGGUUUGAUCGCCGCUAUGAUGGCAUCCCAUAACGUAUUAGCUCUAUCUGAUCAUUC